rnacentral:rRNA from 1 species
UACAGAGGUCCCGAGCGUUUGUUCGGAUUCACUGGGCGUAAAGGGUGCGUAGGUGGUAGGGUAAGUCGGAUGUGAAAUCUCGGAGCUCAACUCCGAAACUGCAUUGGAAACUACCCAACUUGAGGGUCGGAGGGGGGACUGGAAUUCUCGGUGUAGCAGUGAAAUGCGUAGAUAUCGAGAGGAACACCAGUGGCGAAGGCGAGUCCCUGGACGACUCCUGACACUGAGGCACGAAAGCUAGGGGAGCAAACAGG